rnacentral:tRNA from 1 species
GCGUUGAUGGUGUAUAGGUUAGCAUUGCUGCCUUCCAAGCAGUAGAUCUGGGUUCGAUUCCCGGUCAACGCA